CUCCCACCCGUGUCUACCACACCUAGUGUUGCUUUGGCGGGCCCACUCCUCCGGUGUUCCGCCGGGGGGGUCGUCCCGGGGCGCGGUGUGCCCCCGGGGCCCGUGCCCGCCAGAGGCACUCACUGUGAACGCUUUUGUGAAUGCGAGGAUUGUCUGAGUGACGAAAUGCAAUCGUUCAAAACUUUCAACAAUGGAUCUCUUGGUUCCGGCAUCGAUGAAGAACGCAGCGAAAUGCGAUAAGUAAUGUGAAUUGCAGAAUUCCGUGAAUCAUCGAAUCUUUGAACGCACAUUGCGCCCUCUGGUAUUCCGGGGGGCAUGCCUGUCCGAGCGUCAUUGCGAACCCUCAAGCACGGCUUGUGUGUUGGGCCGCCGUCCCCUCGUUUGGAGGGGACGGGCCUGAAAGGCAGCGGCGGCGUCGCGUCCGGUCCUCGAGCGUAUGGGGCUCUGUCACGCGCUCAAGGAGGGGUCCGGCCGGGGCCAUAGCCUCUGAAGGUCAAUUCUUCCAAGGUUG
rnacentral:rRNA from 1 species